GACCAGUGGCUGAGUUGGUAAGGCCUAGCGAUAGCGAUACAGCGAUACAGCGUUAAUAUCAAUACUCUAUAUCUAUACUCUAUAUCGUUAGGCGCGGGGGUUCGAUUCCCUCGUUGGCCA